rnacentral:rRNA from 1 species
AUUGAACGCUGGCGGCAGGCCUAACACAUGCAAGUCGAACGCUUGGCGGACGUUUGAGUUAUUUCUGGGAAACUCCCUGAUGUCUGGGGAUAUCUACUGGAAACUGUAUCUAAUCCCUCAUACCAUUAUAUGUGCCCAGAUGGUAUUAGCUUGUUGGUGGGGUAACGGCUCACGAAGGCGACGUUCCCUAUCUGGUCUGAGAGGAUGACCAGCCACAAUGGAACUGAGACACGGUCCAGACGCCUACGGGAGGCAGCAGUGGGGAAUAUUGCACAAUGGGCGCAAGCCUGAUGCAGCCAUGCCGCGUGUAUGAAGAAGGCCUUCGGGUUGUAAAGUACUUUCAGCGGGAAGGCGGGACCCGAAGAAGAAGCACCGGCUAACUCCGUGCCAGCAGCCGCGGUAAUAG